GCCAAUGUAGUGUAGUGAUUUGAGCAUUAGACUAUGAAUCUGGAGACCAGGGUUUGAUCCCUGCUCUGUCA